AGAAAAAUUAAAGAGCGAGAGCAGAGAUGGAUAGUGAGGUCUGAGAGUUCACAGAGGGCCGAGAUUGAGGAAAGACAGAGAGGUCCGAGAGUCUGCAGAGGAGGUCUUGGAGCUUGGAUCUUUGAUGAUCUAGUGAGAAAUUAAUCUUUUUCAGUUUUCAGGUACCGAAGAUGAACAGGAAUUGCUAGAUUUGGGCUUAGGUUGAAGAGUUGGCGUUGCCGAAUUUAAUUUAUUUUAUUAGAGAUUUUUAUUUUUUAUUUUUUAUUUUAUAUUUGAGGAAAUUGACUUUAUAUAAAAGAGGGUAUUUUUUUAUGAUCCUGGGUGUAUUUUGAUGUAUUUGAGUUGAAUGAAUUGAGGAUUUUAUUGAAA